rnacentral:rRNA from 1 species
AAAUUGAAGAGUUUGAUCAUGGCUCAGAUUGAACGCUGGCGGCAGGCCUAACACAUGCAAGUCGAACGGUAACAGGAAGCAGCUUGCUGCUUUGCUGACGAGUGGCGGACGGGUGAGUAAUGUCUGGGAAACUGCCUGAUGGAGGGGGAUAACUACUGGAAACGGUGGCUAAUACCGCAUAACGUCGCAAGACCAAAGAGGGGGACCUUCGGGCCUCUUGCCAUCAGAUGUGCCCAGAUGGGAUUAGCUUGUUGGUGAGGUAACGGCUCACCAAGGCGACGAUCCCUAGCUGGUCUGAGAGGAUGACCAGCCACACUGGAACUGAGACACGGUCCAGACUCCUACGGGAGGCAGCAGUGGGGAAUAUUGCACAAUGGGCGCAAGCCUGAUGCAGCCAUGCCGCGUGUAUGAAGAAGGCCUUCGGGUUGUAAAGUACUUUCAGCGGGGAGGAAGGUGUUGCGGUUAAUAACCGCAGCAAUUGACGUUACCCGCAGAAGAAGCACCGGCUAACUCCGUGCCAGCAGCCGCGGUAAUACGGAGGGUGCAAGCGUUAAUCGGAAUUACUGGGCGUAAAGCGCACGCAGGCGGUCUGUCAAGUCGGAUGUGAAAUCCCCGGGCUCAACCUGGGAACUGCAUUCGAAACUGGCAGGCUUGAGUCUUGUAGAGGGGGGUAGAAUUCCAGGUGUAGCGGUGAAAUGCGUAGAGAUCUGGAGGAAUACCGGUGGCGAAGGCGGCCCCCUGGACAAAGACUGACGCUCAGGUGCGAAAGCGUGGGGAGCAAACAGGAUUAGAUACCCUGGUAGUCCACGCCGUAAACGAUGUCUACUUGGAGGUUGUGCCCUUGAGGCGUGGCUUCCGGAGCUAACGCGUUAAGUAGACCGCCUGGGGAGUACGGCCGCAAGGUUAAAACUCAAAUGAAUUGACGGGGGCCCGCACAAGCGGUGGAGCAUGUGGUUUAAUUCGAUGCAACGCGAAGAACCUUACCUGGUCUUGACAUCCACGGAAGGUCUCAGAGAUGAGACUGUGCCUUCGGGAACCGUGAGACAGGUGCUGCAUGGCUGUCGUCAGCUCGUGUUGUGAAAUGUUGGGUUAAGUCCCGCAACGAGCGCAACCCUUAUCCUUUGUUGCCAGCGAUUAGGUCGGGAACUCAAAGGAGACUGCCAGUGAUAAACUGGAGGAAGGUGGGGAUGACGUCAAGUCAUCAUGGCCCUUACGACCAGGGCUACACACGUGCUACAAUGGCGCAUACAAAGAGAAGCGACCUCGCGAGAGCAAGCGGACCUCAUAAAGUGCGUCGUAGUCCGGAUUGGAGUCUGCAACUCGACUCCAUGAAGUCGGAAUCGCUAGUAAUCGUGGAUCAGAAUGCCACGGUGAAUACGUUCCCGGGCCUUGUACACACCGCCCGUCACACCAUGGGAGUGGGUUGCAAAAGAAGUAGGUAGCUUAACCUUCGGGAGGGCGCUUACCACUUUGUGAUUCAUGACUGGGGUGAAGUCGUAACAAGGUAACCGUAGGGGAACCUGCGGUUGGAUCACCUCCUUA